CACUACGUCAGACAGAACCACUUAGGCCAAAAUUUUGCCAUCAUCAGUCAAGGAAAGGACCGUUGGGGUCAAGCUCUGCCAUCUCAAUGGAAAAACUAAUUCAUGAUGAGAAAGCAAGGUCAUUCUCCUUUUGCCUUAAUGCAGUACGAGCUGUUAUCCUCCUGAGAGUUCGUGUGGGAGGAAAAGUAUGAGAUGAUCUUAAGAAUGCACCAAAUAAAACAAGACAGCCCUCUACCCUCUGAGAAGGAAAUCAGUUGGUGUUAAAUAGGACACCACAUAAAAUAGGUGUUACUGAGAGGAGAGCAACCAAAAUUUAACUGAGGUUGAGCAAGACUGAUUAUACCACAACAAGUAGAAAAAUAAAACACAAUAAGCACAUUGUAUUGCUACAAAUCAUGACAUGCAC
rnacentral:lncRNA from 1 species